rnacentral:rRNA from 1 species
GACGAACGCUGGCGGCGUGCCUAAUACAUGCAAGUCGAACGCAGUGGGGACGGGUGAGUAACACGUGGGUAACCUCCCAUCAGAGGGGAUAACACUUGGAAACAGGUGCUAAACCGAUACUGAUGGUGGGCCCGGCGGUGAAUUAGCUAGUUGGUGGGGUAACGGCUCACAAAGGCCACGAGGCAUAGCCGACCUGGGAGGGGGAGCGGCCACACGGGGACUGAGACACGGCCCAGACUCCUACGGGAGGCAGCAGUAGGGAAUCUUCGGCAAUGGACGAAAGUCUGACCGAGCAACGCCGCGUGAGUGAAGAAGGUUUUCGGAUCGUAAAACUCUGUUGUUAGAGAAGCGGUAUCUAACCAGAAAGCCACGGCUAACUACGUGCCAGCAGCCGCGGUAAUUC